UACGUAGGGGGGCAAGCGUUGUCCGGAAUUAUUGGGCGUAAAGAGCGUGUAGGCGGCUAGAUAGGUCCGUUGUGAAAACUGGAGGCUCAACCUCCAGCUGUCGAUGGAAACCAUCUGGCUAGAGUCCGGAAGAGGAGAGUGGAAUUCCUGGUGUAGCGGUGAAAUGCGCAGAUAUCAGGAAGAACACCCGUGGCGAAGGCGGCUCUCUGGGGACGUGACUGACGCUGAGACGCGAAAAGCGUGGGGGAGCAAACAGG
rnacentral:rRNA from 1 species